rnacentral:tRNA from 1 species
GCCCCCGUCGCCCAACAGGCAGAGGCGCCUGCCCGAGGAGCAGGAAUGGUGCGGGUUCGACUCCCGCCGGGGGUA